GCCUGAAUGGUCUAGUAGUAUGAUUCUUGCUUCGGGUCAACUGAAGUGCAAGAGGUCCUGGGUUCAAUUCCCAGUUCAGGCC
rfam:Aspergillus zonatus CBS 506.65 unplaced genomic scaffold ASPZOscaffold_1, whole genome shotgun sequence.